UUAGCCUACGGGAGGCAGCAGUGGGGAAUAUUGGACAAUGGGGGGAACCCUGAUCCAGCGACGCCGCGUGAGUGAAGAAGUAUUUCGGUAUGUAAAGCUCUAUCAGCAGGGAAGAAAGAAAUGACGGUACCUGACUAAGAAGCCCCGGCUAACUACGUGCCAGCAGCCGCGGUAAUACGUAGGGGGCAAGCGUUAUCCGGAUUUACUGGGUGUAAAGGGAGCGUAGACGGUUACGCAAGUCUGGAGUGAAAGGCGGGGGCCCAACCCCCGGACUGCUUUGGAAACUGUAUAACUGGAGUGCAGGG
rnacentral:rRNA from 1 species